rnacentral:rRNA from 1 species
AUUGAACGCUGGCGGCAGGCCUAACACAUGCAAGUCGAGCGGAGGACGGGAGCUUGCUCCUUGAUUCAGCGGCGGACGGGUGAGUAAUGCCUAGGAAUCUGCCUGGUAGUGGGGGACAACGUUUCGAAAGGAACGCUAAUACCGCAUACGUCCUACGGGAGAAAGCAGGGGACCUUCGGGCCUUGCGCUAUCAGAUGAGCCUAGGUCGGAUUAGCUAGUUGGUGGGGUAAUGGCUCACCAAGGCGACGAUCCGUAACUGGUCUGAGAGGAUGAUCAGUCACACUGGAACGGAGACACGGUCCAGACUCCUACGGGAGGCAGCAGUGGGGAAUAUUGGACAAUGGGCGAAAGCCUGAUCCAGCCAUGCCGCGUGUGUGAAGAAGGUCUUCGGAUUGUAAAGCACUUUAAGUUGGGAGGAAGGGAAGUAAGCUAAUACCUUGCUGUUUUGACGUUACCGACAGAAUAAGCACCGGCUAACUCUGUGCCAGCCGCCGCCGUAAAAC